CAAAAACAUCUCUCUUAGUUUUACCGUUAAGAGUAGUCCCUGCCUUGUGAUUGAGUUUUAGCGGCGGCGUUAAGUUUUAAAGUAGCGUAAUAAAUUGUCCUUUAAUUGGGGUCUAGUAUGAAUGGGUUGACGUGGGAAUUCUGUCUCUAUAGAAUUAUUUGAAUUUUUCUUCUAAGUGAAAAGCCUUAGAUAAUGUUAAAAGACGAGAAGACCCCGUCGAGCUUGAUUAUCCUGCAAAGUUUUAUUUGUAGGUGAAGUUUUGUUGGGGCAACAGGGGAGAAAGGAAACCUCUCAAUUAUUAUUCGUAGAUCCCCUUUUUGGGAGAAAAGGAAAAAGCUACCGCGGGGAUAACAGCGCAAAGCUGUCAGAUAGGCCAUAUUGAAGACAGUAAAUGCGACCUCGAUGUUGGAUUAGGGUUUCUACCGUGCGCAGAAGUUAGGUAAAGUGGGACUGUUCGUCCUUUAAACCCCUACAUGAUCUGAG
rnacentral:rRNA from 1 species